ensembl:lncRNA
UCGGCGCGGUGUAGACAGCGUGGCCCGUCCAGCUCCCAGAGAUGAGCAGCUUUCUCCGGGGCUCUAGUCCCUCUGAGGCUCCGUCGCGACCCGCAGCGCCAGAACCUCCAAACCCCAAUGUGACCUCAACCACACUGAGCUCUUGGGCGGUGCAGACCAGAUGCUUCUUGGCCAGGAUGGACCUACAGUGGUCUACUCAGCGGAACUGGAGGUGGGUAAUGGAUCAAAUUACUUCUACCUCACUGGAAGUUGUCUACACUUUUUUGAAAAAGGCCUUAAGAAAGUGGAGGUCUCCUUCUCUGAAUGCUGGAUUAGUGAUGAUUUCACAUUAAGCCGUUUACCCAUCAGACAACAGGGUGGUGAGACUGUGACUAUCUGAACCAGCCUAUACUAUUAC